rnacentral:tRNA from 1 species
UGCGGUUGGCGUAGUGGCCGGUGCUGCUGUUCUGGAACACCGGCGUGGCCGCCGUGGUGUUGGUGGCGGGGAUCAUGCCCACGACCUGCUG